AUUGAACGCUGGCGGCAGGCCUAACACAUGCAAGUCGAGCGAGCGGCGGACGGGUGAGUAAUGUAUGGGGAUCUGCCCGAUAGAGGGGGAUAACUACUCGAAAGAGUGGCUAAUACCGCAUACUAUUGGAGCGGCCGAUAUCGGAUUAGCUAGUUGGUGGGGUAAAGGCUCACCAGGGCAACGAUCCGUAGCUGGUUUGAGAGGACGACCAUCCACAAUGUGAAUGAUACACAGCCCAGACUCCUACGGGAGUGAGCAGUGGGGAAUUGUGGACAAUGGGGGAAACCGUGAUCCAGCCAUCCCGCGUGUAAGAGAAGGCCUUCGGAUUGUAAAGUACUGUUAGCAGUGAAGCGGUAUCUGCAGAAUAAGCACCGGCUAACUACGUGCCAGCAGCCGCGGUAAUAC
rnacentral:rRNA from 1 species